UUGACGAAGUAAGACUAAUACCCAAUGACGUCUCUAGAAGACAUCUGAAAGAGAUUAAAGAUUUAUCGGUGAUGGAUGGGGAUGCGUCUGAUUAGCUUGUUGGCGGGGUAACGGCCCACCAAGGCGACGAUCAGUAGGGGUUCUGAGAGGAAGGUCCCCCACAUUGGAACUGAGACACGGUCCAAACUCCUACGGGAGGCAGCAGUGAGGAAUAUUGGUCAAUGGACGAGAGUCUGAACCAGCCAAGUAGCGUGCAGGAAGACGGCCCUAUGGGUUGUAAACUGCUUUUAUAAGGGAAUAAAGUGAGUCUCGUGAGACUUUUUGCAUGUACCUUAUGAAUAAGGACCGGCUAAUUCCGUG
rnacentral:rRNA from 1 species